rnacentral:rRNA from 1 species
CACGUAGGCGGCCUGUUAAGUGUGGAGUGAAAUCCCACGGCUCACCUGUGGAACUGCUUCGCAUACUGGCAAGCUCGAGGACGGUAGGGGAGAGCGGAACUCUUGGUGGAGCGGUGAAAUGCGUAGAUAUCAAGAGGAACACCGAUGGCGAAGGCAGCUCUCUGGUCCGUUUCUGACGCUGAGGUGCGAAAGCUAGGGUAGCGAACG